GAAAGCCGUAUACGCCGAGAGGUGUACGUACGGUUUGGAGGAGAGCACAAGGAAACCUAACAUAGUAAUAUGUCAAGGCGCUAGGUGCUUAUCCUAC
rfam:Bacillus sp. FJAT-27231 Scaffold1, whole genome shotgun sequence.